UGCUCGAGUGGCGAACGGGUGAGUAACACGUGAGUAACCUGCCCUUGACUUUGGGAUAACUUCAGGAAACUGGGGCUAAUACCGGAUAGGAGCUCCUGCUGCAUGGUGGGGGUUGGAAAGUUUCGGCGGUUGGGGAUGGACUCGCGGCUUAUCAGCUUGUUGGUGGGGUAGUGGCUUACAAAGGCUUUGACGGGUAGCCGGCCUGAGAGGGUGACCGGCCACAUUGGGACUGAGAUACGGCCCAG
rnacentral:rRNA from 1 species